rnacentral:rRNA from 1 species
CGGGUGAGUAACGCGUGAGGAACCCGCCUCAAAGAGGGGGACAACAGUUGGAAACGACUGCUAAUACCGCAUAAGCCCACGGCUCGGCAUCGAGCAGAGGGAAAAGGAGCAAUCCGCUUUGAGAUGGCCUCGCGUCCGAUUAGCUAGUUGGUGAGGUAAUGGCCCACCAAGGCGACGAUCGGUAGCCGGACUGAGAGGUUGAACGGCCACAUUGGGACUGAGACACGGCCCAG